UACGGGGGAGCAAGCGUUGUUCGGAUUUACUGGGCGUAAAGGGCGCGUAGGCGGCCAGCACAAGUCAGUUGUGAGAUCUCCGAGCUUAACUCGGAAAGGUCAACUGAUACUGUGCGGCUAGAGUGCGGAAGGGGCAACUGGAAUUCUUGGUGUAGCGGUGAAAUGCGUAGAUAUCAAGAGGAACACCUGCGGCGAAGGCGGGUUGCUGGGCCGAACACUGACGCUGAGGCGCGAAAGCUAGGGGAGCGAACGGG
rnacentral:rRNA from 1 species